rnacentral:lncRNA from 1 species
GGGCGCAUCAAAGCAUACUUUCAGGUUUUUCCACCGGGAGUUGGUACCUCCCGCUCUCUUGUUUACUUUGUGCACCUUUUUACGUAUUUUAGCUAGCAUUUCGAGUGUUGUCUAUUCUGUUGUUAUCUAGUUUGCACCUUUUUGCGUAUUUCGCUAUAGUGCGUGUGUGCGCCGCUGUACCCCAUAGUCGGUUGGAGGGAUAGUGGC